GGCUUAGUAGUCAACAAUGAUUUUAAAUUGCAAAUUUAAAGGUGAAUUAUUUCUUAGGCCU
rnacentral:tRNA from 1 species